rnacentral:rRNA from 1 species
GAUGAACGCUGGCGGCGUGCCUAAUACAUGCAAGUCGAGCGAACGGACGAGAAGCUUGCUUCUCUGAUGUUAGCGGCGGACGGGUGAGUAACACGUGGAUAACCUACCUAUAAGACUGGGAUAACUUCGGGAAACCGGAGCUAAUACCGGAUAAUAUUUUGAACCGCAUGGUUCAAAAGUGAAAGACGGUCUUGCUGUCACUUAUAGAUGGAUCCGCGCUGCAUUAGCUAGUUGGUAAGGUAACGGCUUACCAAGGCAACGAUGCAUAGCCGACCUGAGAGGAUGAUCAGCCACACUGGGACUGAGACACGGCCCAGACUCCUACGGGAGGCAGCAGUGGGGAAUAUUGGACAAUGGGCGAAAGCCUGAUCCAGCAAUGCCGCGUGAGUGAUGAAGGCCUUAGGGUUGUAAAGCUCUUUUACCCGGGAUGAUAAUGACAGUACCGGGAGAAUAAGCUCCGGCUAACUCCGUG